GUUGUUGUGGCAAUUAUCGAUGCGGAUUUCGGUGUGGUUUUGGCGGUCAUCUCUGGCGCUUUUUUGGUCGUUGAUGUGGGAAUAGUUGGUGUCGUCGAUGGAGUCGACGGUCUCGUGGUUGUCGUCGGAGCAGGUGUUGUGGUUGUCGUCGGAGCAGCUGUUGUCGUGGAUUUCAGCGUCGUUGGAGGUGUCGGUUUCGGUGUUGUUUUAGCCGGCGGUUUUGUGGUCGGUUUAGUUUGCGGUUUUGGGGUCGGUUUUUUCGUCGUUGUCGUCGCCUUUGGGGGCGCUUUUGUCGGCGCUUUUGUCGUCACUUUCACCGUUGUGGCUUUUGAUGGCGUUGAUGGAGAUUGCUUUGGAGUCGCUGCAGAGGUUGAGGCCGGUGAUUUUGUUGUUGUUGACAGCGUUGUAGGGACAGUUGUAGAGACGGUUGUCGUUUCCGUCGUAGCUGAUGAGAACUCGGUAGUUAGGGGUGUUAUUACUAUACCCUCGGUUGUUUGCGCUGAAGUUGCAGGAGAGGAGGUUGUUGUUGAUGAGAUCUCUGUACUCUGUGGAACAAAAAAGAGGAAACGAUCAGAUCUCUUGCAGGGAAGUUUGUGACGCGUGGGUGAAGUGAAAAUAUGCAUCCUAGAAAUUCUAACCUACUUGUGAAAUACAUCAAGGACUGUGCUGCCGUGUUACAGAAAAAAGCAGCAAGUGCAUUCUGGGACGGUGGAAGGUCUUAAAAGUUGGCAACACUGUUUUUCAUCCAUUUAAAUGUACGUGAAACACUGAAACAAUCGACUCUUGGUGAGGCAGCAAGGUGCCUCACCUAAAAUCGAUAUUCUUAAUGAAUUUAAAUGGUGAGAAAACAGUGUUGCAAAAUCGCCAGGAGAUCAAUAAGUGGAUUUCGUAUAAGUCAUGGUUAGCACGUACUCUUACGAGUCUCGAGGAAUCUCCCAUAAUGCAAUUACGGCUGUCCUCCGUAACGAAGCAUUGUGCUAGAAAUUCUAUGCCGUUUUAUAAUAAUCAAUUUGAAAAUUGAAUUGGCCAAUGAUAUAAAAGUUAAAAACUGUGUUAAAGAUAACGCUAAGGAACGAUACUCUAUAACUAUUGAAGUGGAGGAAUCAGAACAAAAUAGAUCCAAUGUGAAAGCUUGCAUAUUCAUGACAUUGAAUAAUACGCAACUCAUGUUUAUAGGUAGGUGGUGUAGGGUUUGAUUUUCUAUGAUUGGAUAGUGCACUAUUAUGAAGGAAAUUGCGUCAUAUUUUCUCGUGAUUUGAUUGAAAUCUACAUUGGUGAUUCGAUACAGAGGUGAAGUGACAGGUGUUAACUACUCCAAUUUAGUGACAAACUACGGACAAUCAGAUAUAAUUAUACAGUAUCUUUGUAAAUGUUAAUCUAAAGGACCAUACAAAGGUUAAUGAAUUUAAUUCAACAGAAAGAAGCUAAACCUCAUUUGUGAAAACAUUAGUUUCUUGUUGGUUACUUGAAGUCAGAAUUAGAUUUGUAGUUUAGUUACGUUAAUUCCAAAAACUUCAAAUUAGAAUGAUAACUUUAUCGCUUCAUUCUAUACAUGUUAAUGUUGAGGCUGGCUGAAAUGCGAUUAUUUUCUGAGCUGCUUUUCUGUUGAAUUAAAUUCAUGUCUGUAGAAUGAAUCACCAGUGACGUGAGUAAUCAUCACCACUCCCAAAAAUAUAAAACCAGGCCGCGAUGCACUUGUGAUAAACCCUUCGUUAUUACCUUCUGCAGCCAGAAGUUGUUCCCAAUAUCAUGUUAUGGACGCAAUUAAUAAUGAGUCAUACAGUAGCGAUACAUCCGCCUGAUUUUCAUUGGAAGUUUUCAAAUAGAUCAUGUCAUUGCUAUUGUUAAUAAUUAUCGAAGUAUAACAGUCAAAUCAGAUAGUUUGCCAAAUGCCUUGGCAAAUGGUCAAACAUUCUUACUCAUUGUUAGAUUGAAAUCAAGAAUCCUUUGCUUGUUUUUGACUGCACAGUGCUUUGAAAACGUGAAUACAAAUUUUCAGUUAAACAUGAGACUAUUGAAAGGCAGUUUUAUUUAUUUUUAGCUCUUUAGUGAACGUGUAUAACAAAAUAGUGCAGUAUUUAAUAUAAAAAAAGAAUCACCAUCACUUUGAACCGCAAAAAUUUCUUAGACUCAAAUUAAGCAGAAUUUUUUGGAAAAUCCGCUGUUCAAACAAGCUUCAAAGAGCUCUGCGUCAAAAUCAGGAAAAAUUCCGAUUAUUAUCAAACAUUGAAUGACCGCACAGGCUUUUGAUAACAUAUCCAACUUGACUUAUUGCCCAUGACAUAUCGAUGGCUAAACUUUGAGAGCACUUGAGAUGUGACGUGGCAAAUCCCCUCUAAUAUUUUAUUUUUUGAGAGAAAACAACCCCUUAUUAUUUCUUGAAACUGUCAUUGAUUUUUUUUCGCUCUCUAAAUUACUCCAGUAAACUUACAACCGUUAAAUUCGUUUAUUUUACUUUGAAGGAAUAAAAUAUUCACGAAGGAUUCGAAACAUUGUAUUUGCGUUCUGUGUCUUUAGAGUUUAGUCAUUGACACUCAAUGGAGUUCUUACUCGUCGCCGGAUUAUCAUUUAUGGCAUUUUGCGAUA
rnacentral:lncRNA from 1 species